UACGAAGGGGCUAGCGUUGCUCGGAAUCACUGGGCGUAAAGCGCACGUAGGCGGAUUGUUAAGUCAGGGGUGAAAUCCUGGAGCUCAACUCCAGAACUGCCUUUGAUACUGGCGAUCUCGAGUCCGGGAGAGGUGAGUGGAACUGCGAGUGUAGAGGUGAAAUUCGUAGAUAUUCGCAAGAACACCAGUGGCGAAGGCGGCUCACUGGCCCGGUACUGACGCUGGAGGUGACGAAGCGGUGGGAGCAAACAGG
rnacentral:rRNA from 1 species